GCCUGCACUAUUUUGAGGAUUUUUUUAAAUUAAUCAGUAUUCAUCAGGGAUAUUGGACUGUGGUUUUCUUUUCUUGUAGUGUCUGUCUGAUUUUGGUAUCAGGAUAAUGUUAGCGUCUUAAAAUGAGUUUGGAAGUGUUCCUUCCUCUUCAUUUUUUGGAGGAGUUUUAGGAGGUUUGAGAGUUUGGUAUUCAUUCUUCUUUAACUUUUUUUUUUUUUCUUCAGAGACCGGAUCUCACUACGUUGCCCAGGAUGGUCUUGAACUCCUGGACUCAAGCAAGCCUCUUGCCUCGGCCUCCUAAAAAGCUGGGAUGACAGGCAUGAGUCACCGUGCCCAGUCUUCAUUCUUUAAAUAUUUGGUAGAAUUCAUCAGUGAAGCCAUCUCAUCCGGGGCUUUUCUUUGUUGACAGAUUUUUUAUUACUGAUUCAAUCUCAUUCUAACUAUAGGGUUUGACUCUUUUCACCGACAAUAAUCUGGUGCCCAACAUUGGGCCUCGGAGAAGACUCAGGACCCUGAAGGAGUUGCCCAAAACUGGAGCUAAGGUACCAGCAGGAGCCCAUUGAAGCCUCACCGAAUUCGAGCUUCUCCUUCGGUGGAACUGGGAAGUUCUCCUGAGCCCCAACCUCCUGUUUUGGUUGAUGGUCCUUGAUUUAUUCUAAGCUGAUUUUUUCCUCUCUGUCUUUUCUCCUAGGAAGUUGGUUAAAAUCUUAAUUUUAGUUUCAGAAGUGCAUUCAAAAGGAUCUUUCUCCAUUGCCUUUUCUCUCAAAAUUAAUCUCAAUUGGCUUGUCUGUGCACACUUUGCGUGAGGAACUGAACUGUUGUUUUUCAUAAGUAAGUGAGAGACUGAGUUCCUCAGCUCUGAAGUGAAAGGGCAUUUUGCUCCUCC
rnacentral:lncRNA from 10 species